UGAGAGGACGAUCAGCCACACUGGGACUGAGACACGGCCCAGACUCCUACGGGAGGCAGCAGUGGGGAAGUUUUCCGUCAAUAGGGCGGAAAGACCUGACGGAGCAAGACCGCGCGGGGAGGAAGACGCUUGGUUGGUAACCCUUUACCUUCUGGAGGAAGUAGUGAAGACACCUACGCGGUACCGACAGGAAGUACAGCAUCGGCCGUGUUCGACGCGGCCGGCCGGUAAGGUAACGGACGGGAGUGCGAAGACGGUUAUUCCGGAACGUAGAGUUAGGGUCGGGUAAAGUAACGGUCCCGGUCCAGGUGGGGUCGAGUUUCGUAAACGUACGUUGCGUCGUUCGAAAACGAAACCCGGGGGGGCCGGUUUAAACUUUAAGUUCCGGUGGGGAGGGGCAAGGACGCAACAGGGGGAGUAAG
rnacentral:rRNA from 1 species